CCCAAGAAAAUGGCUGACUCGGAAGAGCGUGAUGAUGACAGCCAAGGUGGUGACAGCGAUGAUGAAAUAGCAGAGUUACGUAUUCAGGCACUACUGAGCAAGAGGGUUAAUGAAGCAGAGGUUUCUCCUGCACGAGAACCACCCCAGGAGAAGCAACGGAAUGUGAACAAACCCCUCCCUUCUGAGAGGCCUCGGCCAUUUAGACCUGCACAGGACUUUGAGAAGAAUCUUCAGGCUAGCAAUAUAACAACAAUUCCAGUUUUAGGAUCCCAGAACUACAAUAGAUGUUUCAAUCCCAUGUAUCAGGCGAUGGGACCUGACAGAAACUUUUAUCAGGGUAGGAACUUCUAUCCUCAAGUUCGUAUGCGAGGUGGCCGUGGUUUUGUUAGAGGACGAGGUAGAGGGGGGCGUGGGAGAGGUUAUAAUGACCGGCCUUCAAUGCCCUUCACCUCUACCAGGCCUCCAACUCCCCAACUUGUACUCCCACAAGACAGAUAUGUGGACAAAGCACCUCCUGAACCAAAUAAAACCAAAGAAAAAAUGAGUGCAAGGUGGCGUCGUAUGCAAGGAUCAGACAGUGAGAGUGAUAGUGAAGAUAGUGAGUCUGAUAGUAGUGACAGCAGCAGUGACACCACUGGCAGCAGCAGUGGCAGUAGCUCUGGUAGCUCUAGUGGCUCAGAUUCUGAAAGUGAAAAUAGCUCAGUAGAAAAGAGGAAAGUUGCCAAAGACCCCAAAAGGGAUGCCCCACUUACUGAUAAGAAACCAGUUCCACCAGUUAUCAGUGGUUCUCGGCAGAGACAGCAUUCUGGUAAAGGUUUAAUGCCAAAAUCCCCACCUGUGCAAAGUGCUGCCCCUCAUAAUCCUCCACCUACUCAUAAAGUUCCUCCUCCAACAAGGAGAGGAUCAGUCAGCCCGCCUCCAAAGAAGUAUGUCAACACUCAAGCAUCACCACGGCAACCAGUAAGGAGAGAAUCGACAAGUCCUCCUAGUAACAGAUCAUGGGUGUCUCCUGUCUCAAAGGGACGCAGCCCAAUUCGCCGACAAGGGUCCAGGAGCCCUCCACCCCGAACAGGCUUGAGGAGCCCGGGCCCUCAAGGUGGUUCAAGGGGUCUUUCUGCUCGCUCAAGAUCAAGAACUCCACCUCCCAGAAGAAGAUCCAGAAGCCCACGUCCUUGGCCAAAAUCAAGAAGUCCUCAGCGAACUUCUCAAAGUCCAAUGUUACGUUCUAGGAGUCCUUUUCCAAGAAGAAGUUCAAGGAGUCCAAUCCCCAGAAGAAGUUCUAGAAGUCCCUACCCAAGAAGGAGCUCCAGGAGUCCACUUGGUAGAAGAAGUAGUAGGAGUCCAUUGCCAAGAAGAAAUUCUAGGAGUCCACUAUUUAGACGUAGCUCAAGGAGUCCCCUUCCCAGAAGAAGUUCUAGAAGUCCUCCUCUGAGGAGAAACUCUAGAAGCCCAUUCCCGAGAAGAAGUUCUAGGAGUCCAGUCCCAAGAAGAAGUUCUAGAAGUCCAAGCUCAAGAUUGCCUUUGAGAGGCUCUUCCCCUCACAUAAUAUCAAGAAGUCCAAUUAGAGGAAGGUUAAAAAGUCCUCUUGCAGGAAGAGGCAAAAGUCCACAACAGAGACUGAGAAGUAAGAGUCCAGGUUUAAGAGGAAGGUCAAGAAGUCCAUUAACUCGAAGAAGCCCAUUGCUGAGACGAAGUUCAAGGAGUCCACUUCCUCAUAGAGGUUCAAGAAGUCCGGCACCUCGCAGAGUUACAAGGAGUCCGCUCCCUCAUAGGGGAACAAGAAGUCCUGCACUUCGUCGUGCCACACGGAGUCCACUAUCUCGCAGAGGCUCAAGAGGCUCACCACCACCACACAGGACUUCUAGAAGUCCACCUCCUAGGAGAAUAUCAAGAAGUCCUCUGUCUCGAAAACAUUCAAGAACUCCACCACUUCGGAAUAUAUCAAGAAGUCCUUUACCACGCAAACUUUCUAGAAGCCCUCCACCUCGGAAACAUUCCAGGAGUCCCCCGCCUCGGAAACUUACCAGGAGUCCCCCCCCUCGGAAACUUACUAGGAGUCCCCCCCCUCGGAAACUUAGCAGGAGUCCCCCACCUCGGAAACUUACCAGGAGUCCCCCACCUCGGAAACUUACUGGUACUCGGAGUCCUCCACCACGGAGAGUUUCAAGAAGCCCCCUCCCACGGAAACUUUCCAGAAGCCCUCCACCCCGACAUAUUUCAAAGAGUCCGCUUCGACAAAGACUCUCAAGAAGUCCACCCCCUCGCCGACUUUCACACAGUCCACUUCAUCGAAGACUUUCAAGAAGUCCUCCUCCAAGACACUUUUCUAGAAGUCCUCAACCAAGACGGCUAUCAAGAAGCCCUCUACCACGUCCAUUUUCAAGAAGCUCAGCCUCUCGUCGACCUAUAAGAAAUUCCCCUUUGAGACGGUUUUCAAGAAGUCCUCCACCACGAAGGUCUUCAAGAAGUCCACCACCACGCCGGAUUUCAAGGAGUCCCUCUGGACGCAUGCUCUCAAGGAGUCCAGGUCCUCGACGUAUUUCAAAAAGUCCUCUUCCUCCUGGAAGAUCAAGAAAAUUAUCACCUCAUCGUGUUGCUAGGAGCCCAUCGCCCAGAAGGAUUCGUAGGAUUUCUCCCUCCUCGCAUAGAUCUCAUAGUCCUGGUCAUAGACUACAGAGGUUUUCUAGAAGCCCUGCAAAUGAAAGGAAGUUAAGCUCACACAGUCCACCAUUUAACAGUUCACAUAGUCCAAGAUCUAGAAGAGGUCCAGCCUUAUCUAUUAGGUCCCAUAGUCCUCUGGCCGAUAGGUCUCCAAGUCCUGGACUGAGAAGAGAUUGGGGUCAUAGAGCAAAAAGAUCACAAAGUCCUGGUUCAUUUGGAAGAACUGGUAGUCCAUAUGGCAGGCAUUCCAGAAGCUUAUCUCCUCAUAAUAGGGUGGGAGGCAUGGUCCCAGGAAUGAUAGACAGGUCCCCAGUAGACAAUGGGUCUCCUAGAAGCUCAUUCCAUAGACAAGGAUUUGGGAGACCUGCUGAUGGCGUGGUUCAUGGUGAAAGAUUUUCUCCUCAAGGGAAUUCGGUAUUAGUAGGAGGAAGGCCUCAUGACUUCCCACCUGGGUAUGAUCACUAUCCUAUAAACAGACCACCCCAUAUGCCAAUGAAUGGUCACCAGGGUCAUCAACACUUCAUUGGAUUUAAUGAACCUGGCCCAAGAGCUCCUGAUGAACCUGCCUGGCCACAUGUAGGAAGGCGGGAAGGAAGGGAUCAGUUUUCACCUCAUCGAUUAUUGCCUGAGGGCCCAUGGCAAGGUCAUUACCAGCAAAGGGAUCGUCCAGGUCCUCCUGUUUUCCCACACCCGGACCAUGUUUUUCCACCAAACAGAGGGCAGCCUUUUAAUGUCCCUAUUCACAACCGCCAAGGUCCAGGGAUGUUGAUGCCUCAUGGCCGAGGACAGGGUUUCCAUGGACCUAGACAUGGAUCACCACAGGCACGCCGAGGGAGAUCACUUCCAAGACACGAGCCUCCUGGACGAUUUGAUCAUGAUUUACCACCUCCAGGACCUAAUGAAAGAAGGAGGCAAUUAUCACCGAACAGGCAAUUGGCUCGUAUUAGAGAGAGAUCACGCUCAAAUUCUCCUUUCUCAAGUAGACCACAAACAUUUCCACAGGGUGGAAGAGGAGGACCCAUGUCACCUCGAGGUCGAAUUCCCACUGUGCCAUCAAACAGGCGAGGUCCAAGAACUCCUCCUAUGCCUGCUGGCAGAAAAGUUUCACCACGACCAGGCCCCAGGGAUGCACAGAAGCCAUUGCGAGGGCCACAUGCUUCUUACCAGGAGAAUAAGGCACCAUUGCAAAGCCGAAGGCAAGGUUCUCCACACAUACCAACACAUGAAAGACCACCUUCACUUCGUGGUGGCCAUAAUCAAGCUUCUCAAAGACGCCCUCUACAUGGAAACAGUCCCCCUCCAGCAGGGCUCAGGGUUCAAGAUGGUGGUCCCCACAAACAACGGUUACAGCUACCAAAAACUCAUUCUCCUUUCCAGGGUGAUAGAAGACGAAAUGAAAAACAACCUGAGGAUGUUAGAGACAGAAAUAGGGAAGAUUCAAGUGGACAAGCUCAGCAUGAGAAAAAGGAUAAAAAAGUAGAAUCUCCUCGGAGAAUGGAGAAUAGACAGAAAUCUCCAUUCCGUAAUAGGUCUCCGAGUCGACAGCACAAUGCAAGAGUAGGUUUUGCUUCAGUUAGAGGACGAGGCAAUAGAGGGAGUAUACUUCAGAGUCCCUCUAGCCGAAAUCGAAGGCAAGUAGGAUCUAGACCUGAAACUUCAUCUAAUCAGCAACGGUUAAGAAGUCCAGGAAGUCGUGAGAAACAUGCUAAUGCUGCCAACUGGGACAAGAGGAACCCCAAAAGUGACUCUCAAGGGGAAAAACUGGAUUCAAAAUCUUUUAAUGAGCAGUUACCAGAAAGACAAGGUCGUACUGGAAGCCCAUGGUUGGAGCCAGUCACACCAGAAAAGCAAGGGCAAGGUGUAUGUGAUCGUUCUUUGUCUCCAGCAGGCAGUGUAAAUGAAAAUCAAGCUAAAAAGGUGAAGCGAGAAACAAAAACAACAGAGCAUGUUGCUGUAAGUAGAGGAAAAGAACAAGUAGAAAAGAAGGUUAAGGAAAAAGUAACUCCAGAAGCGGUGACACAACAAUCAGCUAAAGUGGAAAACAAAUCAGUUCAAGUACAAGACAAACUGGAAGCACGCAGAAAGAAGUUUGAAUCUAAUAAUCCAAUCUCCGCUCAAGAGUCUCGUAAAGUUUUGCUGAAAGCACCGGAACCAACAAAAGAAGUAGAGGAGGACAAGAAGAAGAAAGAUGAGAAGAUAAAGGAAGAUGAUGACAAGAAAAAGAAGAAAAAAAAGAAAAAAGCAAAAGAUGAUGACGAUGAUGACGAUGCAUCAGAAAAGAGCAAGUCUAGCAAGAAAAAGAAAAAGAAGAAGAAGAAGGAAGCCAAAAAGAAAAAGAAGAAGCACAAAAAGGCAGAUAGUGACAGUGAAGAGGAAGAAAAACAGCCAGCUGUAAGCAAAGUUACUAGAGAAAGCAAAAAGGACAACAUAGACUCAACAGAUUUGAGACAUAUGUUAAAGAGGAAAGUGGAUCCACCAAGAGGAGGGGGAGGAGAAAGGAGUGGAAGCAAAGUGGACAUCGACGAAAGAGAAGAGAAGCGUAGGAGGAAGGAUAAAGAAGAACCAUCGAAGACUGUAAUUGGUGGCAAGAGCAGACAAGCAGAGAGCAGAAGAAAGAAACAGCAUGAAGGGAAGCCUCUCCUGGUGACUGUUGGCUCUGGUGAAGAUCGGCAAGUCACUUCAGGCAAUGUUCCGGAAAACCAGAGUGAUGAAGGAAAGGCUUCCCAACGCUUGUCUGUUCACCUUCGCCUUGGGCCCGCCAAAAAUUCCUGGGAUGACAAGUCUGGUAACUCUCAUGGCAGUAGUGGGGGUGGUGGUGGUGGCAGUAGACACAAGAGACGUGAAAAAUCCAAGGGUCGACAUGGUGGAGGAGCUGGCAACAGGGUGAAGCUGAGGCGAUGAUCAUUUCAGUCUGCCUGGGAUGCAGGUAACGCACACAUCUCGUUGCUCCUGCUGCUGCACUGGCUCAACCUGAGGCAUUCCCUAAUAUUUCAUUUUCAGAGAAGUCUUAGUAUUUCUAAAGUCAUCAUGAAAUAUAUGCAGAUUUAUCCAGACAUUCACCUCUAAAGAUGCCGUUGUGAUGGAAUGGAUUUCAUAGAGUGUGGAGGCAACUUUACAUCAUGAUAAAUUGAUUUGCUAAGAAUUUGAAAACCAGUUUACGUUGGUGUUUAAGAAAUGAAAAAGGGAAGUGCAUUUAGUGUGUCAGUGAGAAGAGUCGAGAAAAAAGUGGAAGAGGCAUGAAAAUGUUAAAAAAUUAUUCAUGUGACUCUACCUGUAUAACCACAGUGCUUUGAGAGAAAAGGCACAGAAUUGUGUGAAGAAUUCACCACCAGCAUGAUUUGUGAUGGCUAAUUAUUCAUUGAAAAUUUAUGCCACAUUAUUGUGUAAAGUACACAUACACAGUGUGGUUUGAUUUUGGGUACCUUGAGAAAAGUGCUAAGUUCUCGCCAUUAUUGUACCAAUAUUUAAGCUCGCAAGCAAUGAUUAUAUGUAAAAAUAUAUAAAAAGGUGAAUAAAUAUUAGAGAGCAAGUUGAAAAGCAUUAAUGAAAAAGUAGUGGGAAUAGAAUGAAAAACAUAUUAAAAGGAAAAUAUUACUUUGUAAUCAAGUGGUUGCAGUAAUUUCAUGUCAGUUAAUAUUACAUACAACAACUGAAUAUCUUAUGUGAUACAUCAAAGUGUUGCAUAUUUUAAAUUACUUAUGAAGUAUUAUUAGUUUUGUUAUUAUAAUAAGUUGCACGUGAUAAUAUACUGGUAGUUGGUGUCAAUGCAAAAAGUCGGUAAAAUCCACCGAGUCAGAAGACACCUGUUUUACUUUGCACAAGAGUUGCUACGCUCAUAAAUGUUUGUACAUCUACUAAUGUCAUACAUUUUUUAUUGUUAUUAUUGAUAUUUAAUAUUUUUUAUAAUUAUUUGGGAAAUGUUAUGAGGAUAUGUACAUAUUUUUCAUUUAAUGGUAUUUUUUAAUAUUUGCAAAUUUCACCUGAAAUAGGGUUCACAUGUUUACUAAUUUAUUUUAUCCUACAGUUGCAAUAUAUUUUUUAUACAAACACUAACACUCACAAAGGGUGCAUUAAUUUAUUGGAAAUGCUUAUUAGAGUGUAUAAAAUUUAACACUGCACUACCUCUCAAUAAUCAAACUAGAAAAUUGGCCGGUAACACUGGGCAAUUUUUUCCCCAAAAGUAAACUCAUAAAACUUGUACAUAGUAACACUAUAAAAUAUUUCAGGAACUUUAAUCUAAACUUAAAAAAGAAAAAAUACAAGCAGUAUAUUCAUAAGUAUGAAUCAAUAAUACUUGUGGCAUGGUACUGUACAGUACUGUACUUAUCUGAGUAACAAAAGUGUAGGCCUGAUGAUCAAUUUUAGGAAAUGUGAUUACUAUACAGCACACUGUAUACUAAGCUUUCAGUAUAGGCAGAAGCCGUUUAAUUAGGUAUCCAAUUACAGCUGAGUGGAAUAGAGUUGCCAUAGCUGCAGACCAAUGACCUAUAAGGUAUGAGUUCAGUGCUGUGUCCACUAGACUAUCACACCCCCUUGAUACUGGUACAGUACUGUAGUUUUUAACCCCAGUCCUUUGUGCAGAAUUUACUGUUUACCCAUUUACAAGUAUCAUGAUUUCUCCCAGGUCUUUGUUUUUCCAGGACCUUGGUUUGGACAAAUUAGUUGACAAAUACAGUAAACACAUCUAAAGUGCUCUUUCCCUUUCCUGGAAAGAUUGUAGAUACAUGUAUAAUUCUCUUCUGUAUACUGUACUUUUGAAUUUUAGGAAAUACAGUAAACCUCUACCUUCGCGGGGGUUAGGUUCCUCAAAAACACUGUGAAUGUCAACUCCGCAUAUGUUAAACUUAAGACAGGGAAAAAUGGGGUUAGGGGAUCCACACACUUGAAGAGAUACUUUUAUGAGUAAUAUUUGUACAUGUUAAAUAAAUCAAAUAUGUGUAAAAACAUAGUACAACAGUACUGUAAUAUACUGUACAGUGGGCAGUGCCCAAGGAUCAAAUACAGUUUAUAGUUCUUGACAAUGCCUUGAUUCAGCUUCCUCAUCUUGCUUGCUAGCUUCCACGUGGGCUUGAUUUGGAAUUUAUUCCUCUGUCUUUGUCUGUUCCUUUGUUACUUACCUAAAGUAACGGUCAAUAGGUACCCAUGUGGGUAUGCGACAGUACCAAGGGUAAUUUGCUCCUCUUCUAAGUAAAGAAGCCUUCUAUUCGUAUAUUCGCGUUGCUCGUGGCAAGGAUCGUCACAACAAUGGCGGAUUGUUCCAAGAGUGACUCAUUAUCAGGAGCGACAGGAAACUCUUAAAAAAAAAUUAUUUUAUUUAGUUCAUGUGUUAACUGCAAAAUAGGUACAAAAUAUAACUACAAUAUUAAUAAAUUGGGAAAUUAAAUCAUUAAGCUGGUGUGAGAUGAUUUAGUCUAAAAUUUCUCAAAUAUGUUCGUAUAAUAAUACGGUAUCCUUGUGAAUGGACCCUUCAACUGGGCAUAAAAAUGCACUGGCAAAAUGUAGUUUUUUAAUGAUUUUCACCACUUAGCAACUUAUUGCUGUUUGGGUGGCACUUUUUUCCAUUACAGAACUCUUUACAUAAUAAUUAUAAUGAAUAAGUACAAAGUCUGAUGAUUCUAGCGAUUUUUCUCAAUUGGUAAGAUAAAACACAAGAAAUGGAAACGGAAUUGUAAACACACCUUGAGAAAUAAGAGCGCCAAAUCAUCUGCCACACAACUCAUGAACGGAAAGAUUAGCAUUAUCAAGGAAGUUAAUAAGGAUAUCAAACCAAUGUUAAAAUACAUUUUGUCUUACUAUAAGUUUCUAUCUUAUUACGCGUUUUUCAUCUCAAAUCGUACAAUUUGGUUUAGAACUGUCGAAAGCUGUCCUCACCAAUUAUAAUGAUUUGGGUUUAAGCUACCUAAUAUUGGAAGGUGACUUGAAGAUGGGUCAUGGGUCAAAGUAAUAUAAAUAAAAUAAUAACCCAACAUCACCUGAAGGUUCCCAGGGGAUAUUAAAGGGAUUGAAAUCACAGUCAGGAAAUUUUUGGUCCGUGACCCAAAUGUCCUGCGAAUGUUGAGGGUUUACUGUAUGUAAUUGUAACCAUUAGCUCCCAAAAAAGGUAAAAAAGAAGGGUUCGAGUAUCAGCAGAAUGUAAAAACGAGUACUGUACGUACGUGAAUAUUAUAAGGAGGGUUAAAAGAAUGUUGACAAUGCAAAAGACAAAGAGAUGAAAGAUAGGUAGAAAGGUUGUCAUAUGGUAUACAAGGGAUCAAGAAGUUUUUUUGGGAUGAAUGGAUUGAAAUGACAGUACGAAUGAAAGAGGGAAUAAUAUGGUGGAAAAAAGAUGUAGGGGUGAUAGGAAAAACAUGACGAGUAAAUGUUGAAUGUUAAGAGGUACUGAGAGAUAGACUCACCCAGAUUUGGACAGGCUUAAUAAUAGUGAUGCAUUGGAGUGGAUGGAGCACUAGAGUUGUUCAGGUUGGAAGGUAAAAAAGUGAUGUAAUGUGAAUGGAGGAGGAUGUACAAUAUAGGUUGUUCAUGGUUUUAGGAAUGGUAGAAAAAUGUAUAGUUUUAUUUAAGGGGAGUGGCGAUAAGAUUGAAGACUUUAAAUUACCUGUAUAAAGGAAUGUGUUUUAAGUGAACAGUAAUAAGCCCUUGAUUGUGGAAAUGGUACAUUUUUUGAAACUCAUGUGUAGCUGUAUCAAAUUCAUGUCAGGUAGCAUACUAUGAUUGGUUGGUUUCAAAUAAUUUGCAUAAAUUAUUCUGGUUUUCAAUCAAUUAUAUUUUCUAUUUUCACAAUUUAUGCACAGUAUUUUUAUAUAGAAUUCUGGUGGGAUUGGUUACAGUUGUAUGUUAGAGAAUUAAAUUUUUUAGUAUGUCAGUAUGUACCCCCAAGAAUUUGCCACAUACUAAUCGGAAAUUAUUUAAAACACUACUACUACUGUACUGUGUUUUUAUAUCUUACAUGGUGAAAAAUUAUUGGAGAAUUAUAUAAUUAAUACAUACUAUAUUCAUUUACUGUACUAAAUGGUACCGGUAUUUACCCUCAGUGCAUCCCCAAGUCUUAGUUAGAUUGAGGAUAAUUUCCUCCCAGAUCCUUGUUCACCUCUGGGGUAAGCUAGGACUUACAGACUGGCUUAUGAUGCCAAAGGUUUUUAUCCACUUUUAAUUAUUUUAUUAUUAGUUACAUAUAACUGUAUUUAAAUUACUUUAAAAUGCAAUCACUAUUAUUUUAACGAAUGGGUCACUAGUGACUACUUAUAAUGAUUUUCUUAUUUUACUAUUACUGGUACGUACAACAUAAUUGUACUGUAUUAUUAACAAUGUUUUCGCUUUUUGGUCACAGUUUGGUUACCAAAUUUGGUCCAGUUCCAACCAAUGCAAAACCUUUAGUAACAAGUUUUUACUUUAAUUUAUUAUCAUAACUCAUUCUAUA